GAACGCUGGCGGCGUGCUUAACACAUGCAAGUCGAACGAGAAUCAAUGGAUCAAGACUUCGGUCAAGUGAAGUUGAGGACAGUGGCGGACGGGUGAGUAACGCGUGAGGAACCUGCCUCGGAGUGGGGAAUAACAGUUGGAAACAGCUGCUAAUACCGCAUAAUGCAUACGGAUCGCAUGGUCUGUAUGCCAAAGAUUUAUCGCUCUGAGAUGGCCUCGCGUCUGAUUAGCUAGUUGGCGGGGUAACGGCCCACCAAGGCGACGAUCAGUAGCCGGACUGAGAGGUUGGCCGGCCACAUUGGGACUGAGACACGGCCCAGACUCCUACGGGAGGCAGCAGUAGGGAAUAUUGGGCAAUGGGCGCAAGCCUGACCCAGCAACGCCGCGUGAAGGAAGAAGGCUUUCGGGUUGUAAACUUCUUUUGUCAGGGACGAACAAAUGACGGUACCUGACGAAUAAGCCACGGCUAACUACGUG
rnacentral:rRNA from 1 species